CAGCCACAUCCGAAAGUUUUC
rnacentral:miRNA from 1 species